GAUGAAGAACGUAGCGAAAUGCGAUAAGUAAUGUGAAUUGCAGAAUUCAGUGAAUCAUCGAAUCUUUGAACGCACAUUGCGCCCGCCAGCAUUCUGGCGGGCAUGCCUGUUCGAGCGUCAUUUCAACCCUCGACCUCCCCUUGGGGAAGUCGGCGUUGGGGACCGGCAGUAUACCGCCGGCCCCGAAAUGGAGUGGCGGCCCGUCCGCGGCGACCUCUGCGUAGUAAUCCAACCUCGCACCGGAACCCCGACGUGGCCACGCCGUAAAACCCCCAACUUUCUGAACGUUGACCUCGGAUCAGGUAGGAAUACCCGCUGAACUUAAGCAUAUCAAUAAGCGGAGGA
rnacentral:misc_RNA from 1 species